rnacentral:rRNA from 1 species
AACGAACGCUGGCGGCAGGCUUAACACAUGCAAGUCGAACGGAUCCUUCGGGAUUAGUGGCAGACGGGUGAGUAACGCGUGGGAACGUACCCUUUUCUACGGAAUAACUCAGGGAAACUUGAGCUAAUACCGAAUGUGCCCUACGGGGGAAAGAUUUAUCGGCCAAGGAUCGGCCCGCGUUGAAUUAGCUAGUUGGUGGGGUAAUGGCCUACCAAGGCGACGAUCCAUAGCUGGUCUGAGAGGAUGAUCAGCCACACUGGGACUGAGACACGGCCCAGACUCCUACGGGAGGCAGCAGUGGGGAAUAUUGGACAAUGGGCGCAAGCCUGAUCCAGCCAUGCCGGGUGAGUGAUGAAGGUCUUAGGAUUGUAAAGCUCUUUUACCGGUGAAGAUAAUGACGGUAGCCGGAGAAGAAGCCCCGGCUAACUUCGUG